GGCGGGGCGGGAUGCCGCUGGGGCCGGGCCUCGUGCCGUGCUCUGCUGGGCCGGAGAAGGCGGGUGAGGGCGGUGGGGGAAGGGAAGCGGAGCUGUUUCUUCGCU
ensembl:miRNA gga-mir-1790 gga-mir-1790